AUGGCCGCACCCUCGGAGGCUAGCGGAUCGCGAUCCAAAACCCCCGAAGACCCUAGUGUUUUGCUGGAGCGUUUGCAUCUGGAGGAGGAUGAAUUGGAUAAUUUGGUGUGGGAAGAAGCGAACGAACCAGAUGAGAAGCCGAAGUGGCUUGCGCUGGCCAGGGUUUUGACGAACAAAUCCUUUGGGCAGGGGGCGUUGAUCGCCGACAUGAAAGCGGCUUGGAACCCUGCCAAGGAGGUGGUUUGGAGAAGAAUUAACCCUAACCUGUUUUCGGUACAAUUUAAUUGUCUAGCAGACUGGAAUAAGGCGCUCCAUCAGGAUCCUUGGGAUUUCAAGGGCAUGGCCCUGAUCAUUGCUGAGUAUGAUGGUUUCAAGAACCCGGAAUCAGUAAAGUUGGAUAAAAUUGAGAUGUGGUGUCAGAUCCACCGACUCCCGGAUAUGGUGCUUAAGAGGGAGCAGUUCGUGAAGAACAUGGCGCAGCGCAUAGGUGAAGUGGUCGAGCUACAGAUUGUUCUGCCAAAUGGAUUUAUUGGUGAGUUCGUACGGGUUAGAGUUAAACUCGGCGUCACAAAAAAGCUGACAAGGUUUGUUGGCUUUACAAAGGGAGGAGAAACUGAAUAUUACCAAGUCAAGUUUGAGAAACUCCCUGUUUUCUGUUAUAUGUGUGGCCUGCUAGGGCACUGGCAUGAAGAAUGUGGAUCCGGUGAACAUGAUGAUAAAGAUAUGGAGUGGGGUCCUUUUAUACUUGCUGCUAGAAGGGGCGCCAAUGCUAACCGGACCCCGGGCAGAGGCUAUGGUCGCAGCUCGGAACGGGAUGCAGGUGUCUUUGGUGAUGAGGGUGAUGUGAACGACUAUGGCAGGGGCCGGGGAACCGAUAGAUCCCAUGUCCGAGGUCGCGGUAAUGAGCACCAGAACUUUGUUCCAACUUUAGACCCCACUGGACGGGGUCAAUUCAUGCAAAAGAGCUGGCGUUUCAAUGCUACAAACACCUUGUAUGACCCCGGGGGUUCAGCUGGCCACUGCUGUUGGGGGGCAGAUGACUCGAGCACUUCACACACCAUUACUGGUGAAGAAGUGGUAGACAUGAUUGUGGGCGCCCUUGUCCCGCUGGGGAUCAUAGCAGACAGGGUGGCUAAGUUUGAGGGACCUGAUCCACCUAACAUCUCUAAUGGUGGAACUCCUCAAAAGAAUGCAAACCGGAAAAAAAUAUAA
rnacentral:rRNA from 1 species